rnacentral:snoRNA from 1 species
GAAGCUCUUUUUUGUAGUGCGCUCGUCGCUAAAUGCUCCAACUGAACGCGGUGCGAAACUGGAGAGCAAAGAGAU